UUAUCAAUCAAAGCAUAAGCCGUAAAAUUAUGAAUAGAAGGCAUAUCCUAAAUAAUAACUAGUGUCACCACAGCACCAGGCUUGUCAUGGUGGAAUACCCUUCCUCUGGCAAUGGGUCUAGCAGUAUCCCUAAGCUUUUUGAAGACAGCCAUUCACAAAGUGUUAUGUACUCCCGCACUUGUAGCAGACAUUGUUCAACUCAUAGUAUGGUCAAUUACCAUGGUUUCGAUCAUAAUGCUAACAUGCCUGAAUAGGCUGAGAAGGAUUACCUGGAGGUGGAGGUGGAGCAAUAGCUACAGUAAGAAUCAUUAUGGGUCCCUUGUCAACACGACCUUGAUAAAUAUGCAUUAUUAUUUGUUGGUGUUGUGCUUUGACAUUAUAGAUGCGUCGGUAACAGGUAAUAAGGAGUUCCUCUGCCAACUGGGGAU
rnacentral:lncRNA from 1 species